GCAGACUCACUCUGCACCCGGCUGCAGCCCCAGGCGGGUGCUUUUUCUGUCUGCCACAGUAACACUCCAGGCGCUGCAGUCAUCUUGACAUGGCAAUACAGUUGCCGGGGGACAAGGUG
rnacentral:snoRNA from 12 species